rnacentral:rRNA from 1 species
UAUGUAACCUACCUUUAUCUGGGGGAUAGCCUCUCGAAAGAGAGAUUAGCACCGCAUAAAAUCACAGCACGGCAUUGUGCAAUGAUCAAAUAUUUAUAGGAUAAAGAUGGGCAUGCGGAACAUUAGCUAGUUGGCGGGGUAACGGCCCACCAAGGCUACGAUGUUUAGGGGAUCUGAGAGGAUGGCCCCCCACACUGGUACUGAGACACGGACCAG